UUAUUUAAAAUGGAACUAAUUUGACAGCAGAUCAGUCAAGAAUAACUGUCAGGUUCGUAUAAAUAGCAGGCCUCUAUACACCGAGUUGUCAUCAACCACCAUCACCAGACUUGUGCCGGAUAACAGGUGUCUUUUGUACGUGUUGGAGAAGUAUCACUAUGUUUGCAUACACGAUACUGCUGGUAGCAUGUGCAGUGGCUGGGAGCGCUGCCUCUAAGGCACACGGGUUGAAUAUCCAGCCUAGUAUCUCGUUAGGACAUCCAGCGAUGAUAGCAGGGAAUACUUUUCAAAGCCAAGGGGUAAGGCAUCUAGGUUCCAUUCAAAGGCCUCAUUCCUGCUCCAAAGGUGGUGUCUAAUUCUGCGAUUGGGGCUUCCAACAUUCUCCAUAGCGACGCCACAAGAGGACUGUUUAGUAACCAAGCCAUAUUCGGCAAUCCAGCACCGGCAUUAGUAGCGCCAAACACACUGGGAGCGAUCAUCAGUCCGACCCAUUUCGCUACUAAUGCUGCGUCAACCUUUAACAUUGGAAUCGGAAACUCUGCAGCAUACGAUACCGCUGGGUCAAUUGGAGCGACCUAUUUACUAAAUAAUCCCGGCAUUUCGCUCAACAGUCCAGGCCGCAGAUUCCCAACGUCUAAAAAGGCGGGAAGCUAUUGAACUAUGGAAAUCAACGCGAUGAUGAGUUGAAGACAAAAUCGUAUUUGAAUGUGAAUUUAUGUAUUUUGCUACUUGUAUAUAAAGAAUCUUUACAGAC